rnacentral:rRNA from 1 species
UGGGGAAUUUUGGACAAUGGGCGAAAGCCUGAUCCAGCAAUGCCGCGUGUGUGAAGAAGGCCUUCGGGUUGUAAACCGCUUUUGUCAGGGAAGAAAUCUUCUGAGUUAAUACCUCGGGAGGAUGACGGUACCUGAAGAAUAAGCACCGGCUAACUACGUGCCAGCAGCCGCGGUAAUACGUAGGGUGCAAGCGUUAAUCGGAAUUACUGGGCGUAAAGCGUGCGCAGGCGGUUUUGUAAGACAGAGGUGAAAUCCCCGGGCUCAACCUGGGAACUGCCUUUGUGACUGCAAGGCUUGAGUGCGGCAGAGGGGGGAUGGAAUUCCGCGUGUAGCAGUGAAAUGCGUAGAUAUACGGAGGAACACCGAUGGCGAAGGCAAUCCCCUGGGCCUGCACUGACGCUCAUGCACGAAAAGCGUGGGGAGCAAAACAGGAUUAGAUACCCUGGUAGUCCACGCCCUAAAACGAUGUCAACUGGUUGUUGGGAAGGUUCCUUCUCAGUAACGUAGCUAACGCGUGAAGUUGACCGCCUGGGGAGUACGGCCGCAAGGUUGAAACUUAAAUGAAUUGACGGGGUCAUAGCUGUUUCCUG